rnacentral:rRNA from 1 species
UACGUAGGUGGCAAGCGUUGUCCGGAUUUAUUGGGCUUAAAGGGUGCGUAGGCGGUCCUAUAAGUCAGUUGUGAAAUACGGCAGCUUAACUGUCGAGGUGCAAUUGAUACUGCAGGACUUGAGUACAGACGAGGUAGGCGGAAUUGACGGUGUAGCGGUGAAAUGCUUAGAUAUCGUCAAGAACACCGAUAGCGAAGGCAGCUUACUAGACUGUAACUGACGCUGAGGCACGAAAGUGUGGGGAUCAAACAGG